GAAUGUAUAGCUCAGUGGUAGAGUGCAAGAUUAGCAUAUCUGAGGUCCUGGGUUCAAUCCCCAGUGCCUCCA
rnacentral:tRNA from 1 species